rfam:Olsenella sp. HMSC062G07 Olsenella_spHMPREF2826-1.0_Cont164.13, whole genome shotgun sequence.
GGGCGAUUGGCUCAGGGGUAGAGCACUUCCUUCACACGGAAGGGGUCGCUGGUUCAAAUCCAGCAUCGCCCA